UUACGUUUAAAGUGAAGCUAAAGCCCAUCAUCGCCGCCGGACUGGUUUUCCACCGCUGUACUCUCCGCCGACUCAACAUUCAACCACUUCACUCAAUCUUCCGUCUCUUUCACUACUCUCCAUCAACUCCGCCGCCGUCAAAUUCAUGGCAGUUCAAUGUCUCUCUCUCUAACUUUCCGCAGAUUUUCAAAUUUCUCAGCAUUCCCAGCUACCAAUUCCAAUGCCGCCUGUCAGAUUCGACGAUCCUUGGGACGAGAAGGACGAAGUUUCAGAGGGAAAAUGCGCGUUCCCCGUUGUAGCUCUCUGCCCUUGUCUCGUAUGUUUGAUUCUCGUUCUCAUGGUAGUUUUCAUUCUUCUCUUUGUCAAAUUCCAUUUAUAUUGCCACACGCCUCUUCAUUCUUUGUUCCUCAAGAAACAAUGUUGAUUGCUUUAAGUUCCCGAACGAUUAAUUUCAGAAAUCCCCCUUUCCCCUGUUUUGAUUUACUAGUUAGAGGCUUUUGCGAUCGAAAUUCGUACUCGGAUUCUGAAAUUGAAUGUGAGAUUAGUGAGGAUGAUGAUCGUGAGAGUGAAUCUAGGGCUAAUUCGAUCGAAGUUGAUCGUGUAUGCAAGGUGCUCGACGAAUUGUUUGCUUUAGAUAGAAAUAUGGAGGCUGUUCUUGAUGAGUGUGGUAUCAUAUUGUCUCACGAUCUGGUUUUGAAUGUCUUGGAAAGAUUCAAACAAGCUCGUAAACCUGCAUUUAGAUUCUUCUGUUGGGCUGCUCAUAAACCAGGAUUUUCCCAUGAUUCCAAAACUUACAAUAUGAUGAUGACAAUUUUGGGGAAGACGAGGCAGUUUGAAACCAUGGUUUCAUUGCUUGAAGAAAUGGCUGAAAAAGAGCUUUUGACAAUGGAAACUUUCACCAUUUGUUUCAAAUCCUUUGCAGCUGCAAAAGAGAGAAGGAAAGCUAUUGGGAUCUUUGAAUUGAUGAAGAAGUAUAAAUAUAAAGUUGGUGUAGAAACUAUAAACUGCUUGCUUGAUAGUCUAGGCAGGGCAAAGCUUGGUAAAGAAGCUCAAGCCGUUUUCGAGAAGUUGUGUGGUCGGUUUACGCCGAAUUUGCAAACGUACACGGUUUUGUUGAACGGUUGGUGUCGGGUUAGGAAUCUAAUGGAGGCUGGGAAGAUAUGGAAUCUGAUGAUUGAUGAAGGUUGUAAGCCUGAUAUUGUUGCUCAUAAUACCAUGCUUGAAGGUUUGUUGAGGUGUAAGAAGAGGUCAGAUGCUAUCAAGUUGUUUGAGGUUAUGAAAGCGAAAGGCCCGUCCCCUGACGUUAAAAGCUACACGAUCUUGGUUCGAGAUUUCUGUAAACAAAACAAGAUGAAAGAAGCGGUUGAGUAUUUCGAAGAAAUGCAGGGGGCGGGAUGUCGACCCGACACUGGAAUCUAUACAUGUUUGAUCACAGGGUUUGGGAAUCAAAGAAGAAUGGACAUGAUUUAUGGGAUACUAAAAGAGAUGAAAACAAAUGGUUGCCCACCUGAUGGGAAGACCUAUAAUUCUCUGAUCAAGUUGAUGACGAACAGGCGAAUGCCUGACGAUGCUGGUCGGAUAUACAACAAGAUGAUUGAAAGCGGUAUUAAACCAACGAUCCACACGUACAACAUGAUGAUGAAGUCCUACUUUCAAACAAGGAACUACGAAAUGGGUGUUUUUGUUUGGGAUGAAAUGAAGCAAAAGGGGUGCUGCCCGGACGAUAACUCGUACACCGUGUUCAUCGGAGGGCUCAUAAGUCAUGGACGAUGCAGCGAAGCAGGUAAGUAUCUCGAGGAAAUGAUCGAGAAAGGAAUGAAGGCUCCUCAGCUUGAUUACAACAAAUUUGCUGCUGAUUUCUCUAGAGCUGGAAGACCUGACAUUCUUGAAGAAUUAGCUCAAAAACUGAAAUUCUCUGGUAAAUUUGAAGCAUCUAAUGUGAUUGCACGAUGGGCUGAGAUGAUGAGGAAGAGAGUCAAGAGAAGAACACCUAGGAACAUUGUCAAUGCCGAUCAUAGCAACCGACUGAUACACGAUGAACACUAUUUUUCAGUCCGUCCAUGAGCGGGAAAACUCGAACCUUUGACCUGCCAAUCGACGGUUUUGUGGAUGAGUAACGGCCAUAAGAAACCGAAGAGACUACUCGGGUUCAAAAAGAAGUAUUCAACCUAGUGUCACAACCAUACUACGAAGAGAGUAAGUUGUGACCCUCAUGUCGAGCCGAGAAAGCGGCAACCCUUAGGAGGUGCCCAUUGAGCCAUGCGAAGGUCCCACGUAGUUGAAAAAGUAUGACUGUGACACAAUACUAAUGUUUUAAACUGUUCGGUUAUUCUUAAGUCAUUGUUUAGUAAUAUCUGAGACGAAAAUUUCUAAUACGUAGAUUUUGUCUAAU